rnacentral:lncRNA from 13 species
AUCUUGCUUGCUGCAUCGCCAUCGCUGCCUUGGUUGGUGACAGGAGGCUCUGGAGAAGGAGUGUCCAUCAAGCCCUAAAGGGCCAUAGCUUGGUCAUGAUGGACCACAGGAGAGCUCUAACCAUUUCACUGGCUGUUGACAAGAUGGGAAGUCCACUCAAAAUCCCUAAGACCCUCCUUUCUUCAGAGUUGGGAUGUGGGAAUGAAGAGGCACAGAUUCAUUGGUCCCAGAUUGCUGGAGACAGAAUCAAACUCCAAGAUUCCCGUCAGCAGAAUGGAUCCAUCUCUUUGGAUCAUGGCCAGGUGGCUUUAGCCCAAGCGGCAAUGGACAGGCAGGUCCAGUUGGUCCUCACGGACGUUUUAAAGACUGAACAGGGGCUGGCCUACCUGGACAAGAAAAGGCGUGGCCUGAUGACUGACAAUGGAGAGAGAAAGAGAGAGUCGUGGGUGGGGAGUGGGCAGAGGAGGGUGUCUCCGAGCAGCAGAGAGGGGGGGGAGGAUCGGAGAGAUGACCCCCAAUACAGAAAGAGACCCCAUGACCACGACACACCCACCUCGACCCGCAAGGAGACGAGGUCACACCAUAGAGGGGGGUCAGAGGAAGAAGAGGAGAUGAAAGAAGUCAUAAUAGGAGAGGAGAACGAGGGUAGUGUGUCAGGGAGGCGCAGGUCCGGGGUACCUAUGGAGGAGGUGACCUUUCCUGAGGGGGACAGGCACCAGAAAAAGCGUUACCCAGAAUCCACUAGGACCAGGAAGUUCAAUUCAGGUUCAAGUGAAUCCACACGCGCUGAGGGGGAGAGAUGUAGGAGGGAGUCUGGGCUCUACUGUAAUGGACAGGUGAAGGAUGAUUGGAUGAAGGAUGGCGCGGUGGAGAGCUUGACCACAGACACCUCCAGGCGCUCCAGGGGGAGCGUGCUGCGCCUGUCCGGGGAGUCCAGAGGCGUGGGAGGACUGCUCCCAAAACGUCUCUGUCUGGAGGGGACAGGGGGCAGAGACACCAAUGUAGCAUCCAUAGAGGUAGAGGUGGAUCCCUCCGACUUUGACGGGACCUUGAUGGUUGUCACUGUGGGGGAAGACGAGGAAGUUGUUAGCCCCUCUAACCCCAGCUGUGGAAAGGAGAGGAGAGGAACCCUGAGGCUGUGCCUGUCCUCCAGCCAGGAUAGGUCGCCCAAACCCAGCCCUGCUGAACCCAUUGUUCUCUCCAGUGAUGAGGAGGAGGUAGUCACCCCAUCCCGCAGUUCAGUCCUUUGGCCACAGACUGGCGCUAGUGAUUCUAAGCCCCAGAGAAAUCAUUCUCAGGAACAAAUGGGGGCAGAGAUGCACUCUCAGUUGGUGCCUGUGGUGGUGACCGGAUUUGGGGAGGCCCCCUUCCCCAGUACUGAGGACUCUGAGAAUAUGGGCCUGCCCUUCUCUUCCCUGCACUGUGGGGGGGUCCGUGGGGAGGCCAGCGGGAACCUCAGGGUAAUGCUCUGA